rnacentral:rRNA from 1 species
CAAACCAAAGCUGGCGACCGGCGCACGGGUGAGUAACACGUAUCCAACCUGCCUCAUACUCGGGGAUAGCCUUUCGAAAGAAAGAUUAAUAUCCGAUAGCAUAUAUUUCCCGCAUGGGUUUUAUAUUAAAGAAAUUCGGUAUGAGAUGGGGAUGCGUUCCAUUAGUUUGUUGGGGGGGUAACGGCCCACCAAGACUACGAUGGAUAGGGGUUCUGAGAGGAAGGUCCCCCACAUUGGUACUGAGACACGGACCAA